CAACACUGUAGAGCCCCAUCGGACGAUGCCGAUGCCAUGGCCGACCAAGAAAGCAUCCCCCAAUUGAGCGCCAGCCACCCUCGCCGCCGGCCGCGGCCGCUGUACCACCUCCGAUGUUGAUCCCCCCACCCCUACCGCUGAAACCGCCGCCAUUCACCUCCUCCGCACCUCCCUCCCCGCCGGCGAGCGGCGGCAACAGCGGAAGCAAAUGGGAGACCGAACGGAGGGAGAGAGAGAGAGAGAGAAGCAGCCGCGGUGCCACUCGGCCCAGUAAGCGUCAGCCUCCGGUAGGGAGGCACCGGCUGCCGGAGCGGCUCGUCGAUGGCGGCUGACGAGGAAGACGGUGCCGGAGCCAUCAACUUCCGCCGCCGCCGCCGCCGCCGUUCGCUGGAACUGCGCCGCCUCGUGCCUCUAACCCUCUCUUACACAUUGCGGCCCAGUAAAGCUAAUGAAAUGGACAGCCCAUCAGUACCACUGGAUCGGCCCGCCUCCGCCUUCUGGCCUACAGGCCCAGAUAGAAACAGACGGUAUCGGGCCCACACGGCCCGUACAUCUGGGCCUUGACUGCACACGCUGACACGCACCACCACUACAGCAAAAGCGGCGGCGGCGCCGCCGGCUGAGCGUGUACCGGCGGCGGGGCACAAGGCGAUGAUGGCUGCCGGCGACGAGGGCGAGUGAAGGAGGGGAGGUCGCCGGAAAAAAGCCGGAAGCGGAUUGAUUUCGUUUGGGGAUCCCUAGUUGAUAACUGGUGAAUCGAUGGGCUGGAGUAAAUAAUUGCCUCAUCAAAAAUCAGGGCUCAAAUCUCUCUGUAUUGUUACAUACUCUGUGCUAAGCUCCCCAAAAAUGGCCCAUCUCGAAUUAACUAUUAUCAGGGUCGUUGUGGCAAUUAGCUGGGGGAAGGGUAAAAGGGAGAAGUGAACCAGACAAGUUCGAUGGAUAUCCAGAGUUAGACCCACUUACAUCCCUCCCUGUCUGCAUAUAAUUAUUGGAAUUCUUGAAUUAGUUGGUAGUGCAGAUCAA